rnacentral:misc_RNA from 1 species
GAUGAAGAACGCAGCGAAAUGCGAUAAGUAAUGUGAAUUGCAGAAUUCAGUGAAUCAUCGAAUCUUUGAACGCACCUUGCGCCCUUUGGCUAUUCCGAAGGGCAUGCCUGUUUGAGUAUCGUGAACACCUCAACUCUUUAUGGUUUUCCAUGAUGAGCUUGGACUCUGGGGGUUUUGCUGGCUCACAGUCGGCUCCUCUAAAAUGAAUCAGCUUACCAGUGUUUGGUGGGUAUCAUGGGUGUGAUAACUAUCUACGCUUGUGGUUUUUCCACCAGGUAACCUUCAGCAGUGGAGGUUCGCUGGAGCUCAUAGAUGUCUCUCCUCAGUGAGGACAGCCCUUUGAAUGUUUGAUCUCAAAUCAGGUAGGACUACCCGCUGAACUUAAGCAUAUCAAUAAGCGGAGGA